rnacentral:rRNA from 1 species
CAGCCGCCGCGGGAAUACGUAGGGUGCGAGCGUUAAUCGGAAUUACUGGGCGUAAAGCGUGCGCAGGCGGUUUUGUAAGACAGGCGUGAAAUCCCCGGGCUCAACCUGGGAAUGGCGCUUGUGACUGCAAAGCUAGAGUGCGGCAGAGGGGGAUGGAAUUCCGCGUGUAGCAGUGAAAUGCGUAGAUAUGCGGAGGAACACCGAUGGCGAAGGCGAUCCCCUGGGCCUGCACUGACGCUCAUGCACGAAAGCGUGGGGAGCAAACAGGAUUAGAUACCCCAGUAGUCCCUGUCUCUUAUAC